GACCCAGUAGUGGAUGGUACCGCGCCCGCCUCUUAUAGUAGAAAAUGCAAGCGUGAGCUCCUGGUUCGACUGCAGGCUGGGUCA